rnacentral:rRNA from 1 species
UUGUCCUACGGGAGGCAGCAGUGAGGAAUAUUGGUCAAUGGGAGGAAUCCUGAACCAGCCAUGCCGCGUGCAGGACGACGGCUCUACGAGUUGUAAACUGCUUUUGUACCGGGGUUAAAUGCUCUACGAGUAGGGUUUUGAAAGUACGGUACGAAAAAGCAUCGGCUAACUCCGUGCCAGCAGCCGCGGUAAUACGGAGGAUGCGAGCGUUAUCCGGAUUUAUUGGGUUUAAAGGGUGCGUAGGCGGAAUAUCAAGUCAGCGGUAAAAAUUCGGGGCUCAACCCCGUCGUGCCGUUGAAACUGAU